AACAACAAAAAACACCUCUCAACAAAGCGAGAGGAGUUCCUGCUAACAGGCUGCCACCUCACAGGUUGAUUUUAGGCCACACACAGUAACUGAAGAGGCCAGGCUCCUCCCCUGUGUAAACAGCACAAACUUCCCAUGGCUCCACCCUGUUCUCCCAGUGCACAGGCCGGUAGGAGAUUGUCGGGAGACCCUCUCCCUUAUCUGCUUUCUGCAUCUAUCACUGGCUUACUAUGUACAUGAAUAUAAGACAGAAAUUUUAAUGUAACAACUAGGAAGCAAAAAAAAAAAAAAAAAAUUACACAGUUUUACAGCCUGUUAAUGAAAUUCCAUUUUCAUUGUUAUGGGUGGUGUGCAUUUUUAGAAUUAUAAUAUUUAAUAGCAUAGGUGUAUUAGUCCAUUUUCACGCUGAUCAUAAAGAUAUACCCAAGACUGGGCAAUUUACAAAAGAAAGAGAUUUAACGCACUUACAGUUCCACUUGGCUAGGGAGGCCUCACAGUCACAACAGAAGAUGAAAGACAUGUCUGACAAGGAGGCAGACAAGAAAAGAGCACUUGUGCAGGGAAAUCCCCGUUUUUAAAACCAUCAGAUCUCAUGAGACUUAUUCACCAUCAUGAGAACAGCAUGGGAAAGAACCACUCCCGUGAUUGAAUCACAUCCCACCAGGUCCAUAUCACAAUAUGUGGAAAUUCAAGAUAAGAUUUGAAUGGCGACACAGCCAAACCGUAUCAUUCCACCCCAGCCUCUCCCAAAUCUCAUGUCCUCACAUUUCAAAACCAAUCAUGCCUUCCCAACAGUCCCCCAAGUCUUAACUCAUUUUAGCAUUAACUCAAAAGUCCAACAUCUCAUCUGAGACAAAGCAAGUCCUUUCUGCCCAUGAGCCUGUAAAAUCAAAAGCAAAUUAGUUACUUCCUAGAUACAAUGUGGGUAUAGGGAUUGGGUAAAUACAGCCAUUCCAAAUGGCAGAAAUUGGCCAAAACAAAGGGGCUACAGACCCCAUGCAAGUCGGAAAUCCAGCAGGGCAGUCAAACCUUAAAGCUCCAAAAUGAUCUCCUUUGACUCCAUGUCUCACAUCCAGGUCACGCUGAUGCAAGUGGUGGGUUCCUGAGGUCUUGGGUAGCUCCACCCCUGUGGCUUUGUAGGGUACAGCCUCCUUUCUGGCUGCUUUCACAGGUUGGCAUUGAGUGUCUGUGGCUUUUACAGGCGCACGGUGCAAACUGUCAGUGGAUCUAUCCUUCUGGAUUUUGGAGGACGGUGGCCCUCUUCUCACAGCUCCAGUAGGUGGUGUCUCAGUAGAAACUCUAUGUGGGGGCUCAGACCCCACAUUUUCUUUCCUCACUGCCCCAGCAGAGGUUCUCUAUGAGAGUCCUGCCCCUGCAGAAAACUUCUGCCUGGGCAUCCAGGCGUUUCCAUUCAUCUUCUGAAAUCUAGGCAGAGGUUCCCAAACCUCAAUUCUUGACUUCUGUGCAUUUGCACACUCAACACCAUGUGGAAGCUGCCAAGGCUUUGGAAUUGCGUCCUCUGAAGCCACGGCCUGAGCUAUAUGUUGGCCCCUUUCAGCCACAGCUGGAGUGGCUGGGAUGCAGGGCACUAAGUCCCUAGGCUGCACACAGCACAGGGACCCUUUGCUCAGCUCGCAAAACUGCUUUUUCCUCCUAGACCUCUAGGCUUGUUAUGGGAGGGGCUGCCAUGAAGACCUCUGACAUGCCCUGGAGACAUUUUCCCAGUUGUCUUGGGGAAUAACAUUAGGCUCCUUGUUACUGAUGCAAAGUUCUGCGGCCGGCUUGGAUUUCUCCUCAGAAAAUGGGAUUUUAUUUUCUAUCGCAUUGUCAGGCUGCAAAUUUUCUGAACUUUUAUGCUCUGCUUCCUUUUUAAAACUGAAUGAUUUUAACAGCGCCCAAGUCACCUCUUAAAGGCUUUGCUGCUUAGAAAUUUCUUCCGCCAGAUACCCUAAAUAAUCUCUCUCAGAGUCUAUGUUCCACAAAUCUCCAGGGCAGUGGCAAAACUCUUGCUAAACCAUAACAAGAGUCGCCUUUGCUCCAGUUCCCAAAAAAUUUCGCAUAUCCCUCUGAGACCACCUCAGACUGGAUUUCAUUGUCCAUAUUUUCAGGAUUUUGGUCAAAGCUAUUCAACAAGUCUCUAGGGAGUUCCAAACUUUCCCACAAUUUCCUGUCUUCUUCUGAGCCCUCCAAACUGUUCCAACCUCUGCCUGUUACCCAGUUCCAAAGUCGUUUCCACCUUUCCCAGUAUCUUUUCAGCAGCACUCCACUCUACUGGUAACAAUUUACUGUAUUAUUCCAUUUUCGCCCUUGUUGCAUUCCUCCCACUCCUCAAGAAGCAUUUUCUUUUUCUGAGACAGGGUCUCACUUUGUCACCCAGGCUGCCCUGCAGUAGCACUAUCAUAGCUCACUAUUGUCUCAACUUCCCAGGCUCAAGCCAUCCUCUCACCUCAGCCUCCUGAGUAGC
rnacentral:lncRNA from 1 species